AUAAUCUCAGAAACUGAAAUUUUAUGAACAGUAUAACAGAUUUGACAAAUUAUCAGUUAACUCCAGAUGAAAUUAAACGACGUCACGUCAUUCAUAAGUCAAAAAAUGCAGAAAUUGCAAAAUUAGAACUUAUUGAAAAAUAUCAUCCAAGUCUUAAAAGUA